ensembl:snoRNA U8 U8 small nucleolar RNA
UCAUCAGGUGGGAUAAUCCUUACCUGUUGCUCCUUUCGGAGGGCAGAAAGAACGUGAUGAUUGGAGAAAAGAAAAAAAAAAAAAAGAAUUGCUAAUCUAUGAG